ensembl:lncRNA
GGCAUCAUUGCUAUUUCUCCCAUUAUAGUCUGUGAUGUGUUGCAGUCCUCCCCACAUGCAUCUGGGGUCAGAGCUGUGGUAGUUAGACUCCAACUUAUCACGGUAUUGUCUUUUUCCAUCUCUGAUAGCCUUCCGUAGGUCAUAUCUGGAUCUCCUCAAAGCCUCCAGGUCCCUGGAGCUAUAGGCGCGGGACCGUGCUCUGAGCUUAGCACGGACAUUAGCAUUAACCCAGGGCUUUAGGUUGGGGAAACUCCUGAGAGUGACCCUCGAGACGACAUCAUCGAUGCAUUUGGAGAUUAAUGCUGAGACAGAGUCUGUGUAUUCAUCAAUGUUCCCAAAUGCUGCAACACAGAACCCCUGCCAAUCUGUUGUUUCAAAGCAGUCCUGGAGCGUGGUAAUGGAUUCCUCAUCCCAGCGUUGGAACUGCCAACCCUCAAUACCGCUACUUAAUGCAGAGGAGGACUACUUUGUGGAUGACUCAUGUUAUAAAGAUCAUGAAGGCAAUCACGCAGGAUUUGCGGUUGUAAAAUGUCAUGGGAAGGAGUUUAUUGAGGUCAUAGGCCCACAGCUGUGUUCAGCUCAACUGGCAGAACUGAAAGCCUUAACAGCUGCGUGCCCAGUUGUUAAGACCAAUAUGAGGUGAAUGUCUAUACUGACUCAGCAUAUGCUCAUGGCGUAUGUCAUUUGUUUGGUGUGGUUUGGAAACAGUGAGGUUCAAGAAAAGUGACGUCCAUCCAGCGUCAUGAACAAAUCAUUGACCUGAUGACAGCACUGAUGUAUCCCACACGGUUGGCUGGAGUUAAAUGUCAGGCUCACAGGAGAGGCAAUGAUUUCAUUAUACGUAGCAAUAAUGCAGCGCAAAACAAUGUGUGAAAAGGCAUAACCACGCUCAUAGGGCUCGUACUUGGUCAUAUACUAUGUGGACAUGAUAAAAAAAAAAAGGCAAAAGAUACAUGGCAAAAGAUACGUUUUGUGUUUUCUAGUUGCAGAUUUCUAUUAGGUGUGUGGGGGUCGGAGGCUUGAACCACCUUACCCAGGGGAUGGAAGGGCAUCUGUGGCCAAGGAGAGAAGAAGCAGAAGGAGAACCUACAGGAUGGUAGCUCUCCAGAAAGCGGACAGAGAGCAGCCCUGUUUAUAACAAAAAGCAACCCUCUGUCACGUGCUGGCACGGCAAGCCUGCCCUGAGCGAGAUGCCCCCCCUCCAAGGCUGUGUGAUAAGGCCACCCCACCCACCUGCAGUCAAGUGACCGAAAGAGGCCAAACACCCAGCAAAAGGAUUUAGGAGGGGUGUCGAAGAGGGCAGAAAAAAUUGGGAGGGGUCAACAUGGAGUUGCCGGGGACCUUCAGUGGUGACAGAAAUGCACACGACCUAAGUCGAACUGAACCUUCAGGCAGGGGAGCGCUUAGCCGUGUACCCCAGAAAUGCCCCCAUGAAACUGUUAGGGAAUGGUAGAGAAGUCCUGGUGGCACCAAGAGGGAAGAGGAACUCUCCCAUGCCAGGGAUAUAUUUGUUAAUCUGCUUUGUUUCCUGUACCAAUACAGGAUGUAAACAUUAGCUAGCAAUUUUUUUUAACUUAGUUUAAACUUAGUUCAAGCAAUGUACCAUCCCAACUGUUUGGACAGGGUUGUGUCCAACUGCAUACACACAGUGGGUUUGUGACUGGUGGCAAUGCCUGUCAUAGUGUAUUGACCACAAUCUAAAACUGUGCAAAAAACAUUACACAUAUUGUUUAAGCCAGCUACAAUUUCACUGGUUGCAGGCCACUAUUUAUGAGGUUUGAAAAAAAUAGCCCUAAUUUAUAAUGGUGGAAGUUGUUGUUCUACCACUGACCAUUUACCAGGUCUACCCAGCAGC